AUUGAACGCUGGCGGCAGGCCUAACACAUGCAGUCGAGCGGAACGAGUUAUCUGAACCUUCGGGGGACGAUAACGGCGUCGAGCGGCGGACGGGUGAGUAAUGCCUGGGAAAUUGCCCUGAUGUGGGGGAUAACCAUUGGAAACGAUGGCUAAUACCGCAUAAUGCCUUCGGGCCAAAGAGGGGGACCUUCGGGCCUCUCGCGUCAGGAUAUGCCCAGGUGGGAUUAGCUAGUUGGUGAGGUAAUGGCUCACCAAGGCGACGAUCCCUAGCUGGUCUGAGAGGAUGAUCAGCCACACUGGAACUGAGACACGGUCCAGACUCCUACGGGAGGCAGCAGUGGGGAAUAUUGCACAAUGGGCGCAAGCCUGAUGCAGCCAUGCCGCGUGUAUGAAGAAGGCCUUCGGGUUGUAAAGUACUUUCAGUCGUGAGGAAGGUGGUGCAGUUAAUAGCUGUAUUACUUGACGUUAGCGACAGAAGAAGCACCGGCUAACUCCGUGCCAGCAGCCGCGGUAAUACGGAGGGUGCGAGCGUUAAUCGGAAUUACUGGGCGUAAAGCGCAUGCAGGUGGUUCGUUAAGUCAGAUGUGAAAGCCCGGGGCUCAACCUCGGAAUAGCAUUUGAAACUGGCGGACUAGAGUACUGUAGAGGGGGGUAGAAUUUCAGGUGUAGCGGUGAAAUGCGUAGAGAUCUGAAGGAAUACCGGUGGCGAAGGCGGCCCCCUGGACAGAUACUGACACUCAGAUGCGAAAG
rnacentral:rRNA from 1 species